rnacentral:rRNA from 1 species
AUCAACUUUCGAUGGUAGGAUAGAGGCCUACCAUGGUGGUAACGGGUAACGGGGUGUUAGGGCACGACACCGGAGAGGGAGCCUGAGAAACGGCUACCACAUCCAAGGAUGGCAGCAGGCGCGCAAAUUACCCAAUCCCGACACGGGGAGGUAGUGACAAUAAAUAACAAUACGGGGUCCUUUCGGGUUUCGUAAUUGGAAUGAGUACAAUUUAAAUCUCUUAACGAGGAACAAUUGGAGGGCAAGUCUGGUGCCAGCAGCCGCGGUAAUUCCAGCUCCAAUAGCGUAUAUUAAAGUUGUUGCAGUUAAAAAGCUCGUAGUUGAAUUUCAGGCCUGGCUGGACGGUCCGCCCUUCGGGUGAGUACUGUCUGUGGUCGGGUCCUACCUUCUGGCGAAGCGUCAUGGCCUUAACCGGCCGUGGCGGGGAACCAGGACUUUUACUGUGAAAAAAUUAGAGUGUUCAAAGCAGGCAAUCGCUUGGAUACAUUAGCAUGGAAUAAUGGAAUAGGACAAUGGUUCUAUUUGUUGGUUUCUAGGACCGUUGUAAUGAUUAAUAGGGAUAGUUGGGGGCAUUAGUAUUCAAUUGUCAGAGGUGGAAUUCUUGGAUUUAUUGAAGACUAACUACUGCGAAAGCAUUUGCCAAGGAUGUUUUCAUUAAUCAAGAACGAAAGUUAGGGGAUCGAAGACGAUCAGAUACCGUCGUAGUCUUAACCAUAAACUAUGCCGACUAGGGAUCGGAUGAUGCUAUUUUUUAAUGACUCAUUCGGCGCCUUACGGGAAACCAAAGUGUUUGGGUUAAUC